rnacentral:tRNA from 1 species
GGCCUCGUAGCGCAGUUGGCUUAAGCGUUGGCUGUAAAAAAGCCUUCCCCUUGCUGGCGUGGGUUCGAAUCCCACCGAGGCCG